UAUUUUGAGGAUUUGAUCCUGGUCCAGGAUGAACGCUGGCGGCGUGGAUAAGGCAUGCAAGUCGAACGAAACUAUUUUUGAAAUAGCUUGAGAUUAUAUCAAGGGCUGUGGAUUGAAUAGUUUAGUGGCAAACGAGUUAGUAAUACCUUGGUAACUUACCUGGAAGUAGGGCAUAGCUAGUCGAAAGAUUAGAUAAUUCCCUAUAUGGAUGCGGGGACGAAAGUCAUUCGCAUUGAAAGACGCAAGUCGCUUCUAGAUAGGCCUUGGCCCGAUCAGCUAGUUGGUGAGGUAAUGGCUCACCAAGGCUAUGACCGGUAGGGGAGGUGAGAGCCUGUUCCCCAACGACGGAACUGAGACACGGUCCGUACACCUACGGGUGGCAGCAGUCGAGAAUAUUUGACAAUGGGCGAAAGCCUGAUCAAGCGACGCCGCGUGCAGGAAGACAGUCUUCGGAUUGUAAACUGCUUUUCAUGGAGAUAAAGAUCACCGCAAGGUGGUUUGAUAGUACCUAUGGAAUAAGAGGCUGCAAACUUCGUGCCAGCAGCAGCGGUAAUACGAAGGCCUCAAGCGUUAUCCGGAUUUAUUGGGCGUAAAGGGUGUGUAGGGGGUUUUGUAAGUCUUUCCGUAAAAUCUUGCCGCUCAACGGCAAGCUCGCGGGGGAAACUGCAAGACUAGAGGGUGCAAGAGGUCUGUAGAACGCACGGUGUAGGGGUGAAAUCCGUUGAUAUCGUGCGGAAUACCAAAGGCGAAGGCAGCAGACUAGUGCAUUACUGACCCUGAAACACGAAAGCGUGGGGAGCAAAAAGGAUUAGAUACCCUUGUAGUCCACGCCCUAAACGAUGUUUGUUAGCCGUUUCGAGUAUCGACCCUCGGAGUGGCGCAGCUAACGCAUUAAACAAACCGCCUGGGAAGUACGGCCGCAAGGCUAAAACUCAAAGGAAUAGACGGGGACUCGCACAAGCGGAGGAGCAUGAGGUUUAAUUCGAUGGUAAGCGAGGAACCUUACCAGGGCUUGAAAUUCAAACGAAGACUUUCCGAAAGGAUUGUUGUCUCUCAAGGACGUUUGAACAGGUGCUGCAUGGUUGCCGUCAGCUCGUGUCUUGAGAUGUUCCCUUCAGUGGGGAAACGAGCGCAACCCCCGUCGCGUGUUACAAGUGUCACGCGAGACUGCCGGAUUUUUGCCGGAGGAAGGCGGGGACGACGUCAAAUCCGCAUGGCCCUCUGAUGCCCUGGGCGACACUCAUGCUACAAUGGUCAAUACAAAGGGUUGCCAAACCGUAAGGUGGAGCUAAUCCCAUAAAGUUGACCUCAGUUCGGAUUGAGGGCUGAAACUCGCCCUCAUGAAGCCGGAUUCGCUAGUAAUCGUAGAUCAUAACGCUACGGUGAAUACGUUCUCGAGUCCUGUACUCACCGCCCGUCACGCCAAGGAAGCCGGAAGGAGGUGAAGCCGCGUUUAGGCGCGGUUAGCCUUAGUUCGGUGACAUGAGCGAAGUCGUAACAAGGCACGUGUAGCGGAAGCUGUGCGUGGAACAAUUAAACU
rfam:Candidatus Colwellbacteria bacterium RIFCSPHIGHO2_12_FTLL_43_12 rifcsphigho2_12_scaffold_17758, whole genome shotgun sequence.